GUCCCGCCCACCGGCCCAUUGCCCCUCCCUGCCUUACUCCCCACAUCUCUCCCCACCAUGGGACACCUGGGGAGCCCAGGACGCGGAGUCCUCCUCCAGCCCAGGGAUGUGACGUCAGCAGGUGGCUGGAGGAUACUCAGGAUGAUGGUGCACUGCACCCGACACAUGUCACAGCCAGCGCGAAGGCCCCAGACUGCAUGGCGCCCUGGCCCCUGGACGCUGGUGGGGGUGCCCACGGGGCUGGCACAGCCCUGCGACCUGGCCCUGUGUGGUUCUUAGCAGCUUUGCAGCCGUCAGGAGCAUUUUGGGUGCAAGAGCCAGGAACCCGACAUGAUUUAACCGGAUGUUUCUGUGUUAUCUGCCAACCCCGCCCUGGUCAGCUGGCAAAACAAUGGGAGGAUAGACACGCUGAUGCGCUCCAUGUGCAGGAUCUAAUUUAAUCCUUAUCAAAAUGCGUGAAGUUGACAGAAGGAAUUGUUGAAUUUCAGAGAAGUCUCUUAUCGCCACAAAGGACGCUGGUUAGACAAGAGGAACCGGCCUCCCACGUCAGCCUCCGCAGAGGCAGAAUGAGCCCUCGUGGACACGACUUCCUCCCCUCUCUGCUUCCAGAACAACCCGUGGCUUCGGUGGCUCCACCCAGUUUCACUGACGUGGCAGUGACACCGACAGCGCGCCCGAAGCCACAAUCUGAAUCGCCCUGUGACCAGCAUGCAGAGGUGGGAACCUGUGCCCAGCCCUGCCCCAAAGCCCCCCCCAGGGCUCUCCCCCUGCCUGUGCCCCGACUCAGGGCACCCUUGUGCUAGUCUUUCUUCAAGAGGAGCCCACCGGGUGAGCCCCUGGCAUAUGCUUGCCCACUUUUCCAUGGGGUUGUCUAACUUUUUCUUGUUGAUCUGCAGGAAUUCUUUAUAUAUUUAUACAUCCUGGACAAAAGCCUUUGAUGCUUUGCUGCACGUGUGCAUUGCAAAUGCCCCUCCCCACUGCCUUUUCUGUUGCAGUUGUGACACUCAAAGUUUUACUUGGGUUUUAAAUGCAGCGAGGGACUCCAGGGGCACCUGGGUGGCUCAGUCGGUUAAAUGUUCUGACUUUGGCUCAGGUCAU